GUACUUCGAUUCGCCGUUCCCGACACCACUGGUUCCUCCUCCAUGAACUGCUGGUACUGUUAAACCCUAGAUAGUAGAAACCGAAUCAAAAAAAGGGUGAAUGCUCCAGAAGAAGGAGAGAUUAAAUUAGAAAAUUGGGGACAGAAUGCACCGAAUUGUGGAAUCGGAGAGCGUAAUGCAUAAACUUCGGUGGCCAUUUUGCCGCUAAGGAUAAAAAGGAAUGCUAAAUUAAAAAUAAAAAA
rnacentral:lncRNA from 1 species